CGGUCAGGUCACAUUGAAACACCCACUCCCGUACGAUCCCCGAAAUUAAGCAACGUCGAGCCUGGUCAGUAUCUAGAUGGAUGACUGUUUGCGAAUACCAGGUGCUGUAAG